rnacentral:ncRNA from 1 species
GAAAAAAUGAUGCCGGGGAGGAGUACCGAAAUGCCUCCAUGCAGAGAGGAAAGCCCCUGGGCUGAAAGGCUUUCCUGGCAGGCUUCGGGAACGUCGCCCCUAAGAUUGUGAAGGGGAAGCCAGUACCUUUCACCGGGUUAUGCCCGUUAUAGCUAUAAAGUGCCGGGAGCGUUGUAUCCCGGAAGCAAGGUGGUACCGCGGAAAGUGCCUCUUUCGCCCUUGGG